rnacentral:rRNA from 1 species
CUUCUGAUUGAUAACAUUUGAGUGAGUGGCGGACGGGUGAGUAACACGUGGGUAACCUGCCCUAAAGUGGGGGAUAACAUUUGGAAACAGAUGCUAAUACCGCAUAAAACCUAGCACCGCAUGGUGCAAGGUUGAAAGAUGGUUUCGGCUAUCACUUUAGGAUGGACCCGCGGUGCAUUAGUUAGUUGGUGAGGUAAAGGCUCACCAAGACCGUGAUGCAUAGCCGACCUGAGAGGGUAAUCGGCCACACUGGGACUGAGACACGGCCCAGACUCCUACGGGAGGCAGCAGUAGGGAAUCUUCCACAAUGGACGAAAGUCUGAUGGAGCAACGCCGCGUGAGUGAAGAAGGUUUUCGGAUCGUAAAACUCUGUUGUUGGAGAAGAACGUAUUUGAUAGUAACUGAUCAGGUAGUGACGGUAUCCAACCAGAAAGCCACGGCUAACUACGUGCCAGCAGCCGCGGUAAUACGUAGGUGGCAAGCGUUGUCCG